rnacentral:lncRNA from 1 species
AGACCCGCGGGUCAUUGCAAAAAAGGGGAAGACCCGGGUAAGAACACUCUCUCUCCUCAUUCCCGUCACUCAGAACCUGCUGAUUUAUCGAUUCUCUCCCUCCUCAAAGUAGCAGACGAAAGAGCAAUCCUUUCUCUCUCCUCAAACUGGAAGAGUAAAUCGAUUCUGAAGCAAACCGGAAUAGCAAAUCUGAAGCAAACCGAGUCUGAAGCAAAGCGAGUCUGAAGCAAAGCGAGUCUGAAGCAAAUAGUCAGGCAAAAAGUAGAUCGAACAAAACUUGUUAAAAAUUGGAAGGUAAAGAUUCUGAGCAUAUGAAUUCUGUAAUUUCUGUUUGAUUUGAAAGAAAUCUAGGGUUUCUGAGCAUAUGCUUUUUAUAGUUGUUAUUAAUUUAUAAUAAUUCGUUUGUUGACCCCCAAUUGUAACCUUUGGGGGAUUUGAGUGAUGGUUCUGAUUUCUUGUACUUAAAACUAGAUCCUAUAGAAAUUUAAAGCAAGGUUAAAUGCUGUAAUGAACUAAUUGCCUAAUUGAAAGUUAAUGUUGCAUUUUCAUAUCUUUCACUGGAAAUAUUAGCAGUCAUAAUUAAUUGGAGUUUUUUAUCCCCUUUUUUACAUUCAUUUAUCAUCUUACUUCGUAGCUAAUAUAGAGUAACAGUUGGAAUUAGAAGGUUUAUCAUCUUAAUGAAAGUCUUUAUUGAGUUGAAUGACAUUCUUACAUGAUAAUUGUUAUUUUGCCCAAGAUCACUAUCUUGCAGUCCAGUUCAAUUGCUUGCUAUUUUUAUUUAUUUAAUAUAUUUUGGUUGUGGUUUUCAUAAUAGGUUUUAAUCAAAAUGGAUAACGUGGAAGCAGAGUAUGGGAUGUGAGAAAAUUUAGAGCGGGUAGAAGGGGGGGGGGAAUGUAGACUUUGAAUUAGAGAGUGGGCUAAAUGAGGAACAAUAUGUUGAGUUAGAUCCUAAUUUUUCAGAUAAUUUGUAUAAUCCUCAAGUAGCACCAGAGCUGAAACCAAAAAUAGGUCAAGAAUUUCAAACAAUAGAUGAUGCUUUUAGUUUCUAUAAUGCAUAUGCAAAAGAGAGUGGCUUUAGUGUUCGAAAUUGGUCUAAAAAAAAGAGACGAGGAAGUAGUGAGAUCAUAAGGAAAGAGUUUGUUUGUUGGAAAUAGGGGAAUGCUACAACAGUAUCGAACAUUGAGGCAACAAGGCGUAGGGGAUCAAUUAAAGAGGGUUGUAAAGCAAAACUUGCUAUUGUGAUGACACCUUCAGACUUAUAUGUUGUUAGUAUAUUUGUUGAGGGUCAUUGUCACCCAUUAACAACUCCACGAAAAACAUAUUUUUUGCCAUCUCACCGCAAUAUGUCGACUGCCCAAAAGGCCCUGACUCAACAGCUUCAGAUGGUAAAUAUAUCAUCGCAUCAACAAUUCAAUUUGCUUGGAGUGCAAUCGGGGGGGUUUGAGAAUAUUGGUUGUACGCAAAGAGAUUUGUAUAAUCUCGAAAGAGAUAAGCGAAAUGAGAUGAAAGGACAUGAUGGACAUAUGUUGCACGAGUUUUUAAUUGGUGAACAAGGAAAGAAUCCAUCAUUUUAUUUCAAAAUUGAGUCAAAUGAUGAAAACAUGAGUACUCAUUGUUUUUGGGCUGAUUCAACCUCUAGACGUGCUUACAAUUUUUAUGGUGAUGUAGUGAUAUUUGAUACUACGUACAACACUAAUCGGUAUGGAUUAAUAUUUAUGCUACUAAUGGGGGUUAAUAAUCAUGGUCAAACAAUAAUAUUUGCAUGUGCAUUCUUGAGUAAUGAGACCAUAGAUUCAUUUGUUUGGCUUUUCAACCAAUUUUUGGAAGUCAUGUCAAGUGAUGCCCCUAAGAUGAUAAUUACUGAUCAAGAUCCUGCUAUAACAAAUGUAGAUAAUGGAGAAUUCGAGAUAGUAUAAAUAUUCACUUCCUAUGUUAGGUAUGAGUUUUGUCCCCGGUACAAUAGAAAUUUCUUUAACAUAUUUGACAUUAUUGGAUUUGAGGGCAUUUUUUUGUUUGUUUCUAUGUUCCGAAUUGUAAUUUAUUUAAAUUCAAGUGGUACGUUAAUCAUGUGCAUGGUAUAUAUCAGUAUGCUGGCCCACGACCAUUUUAAAUUCAAGUCACUUCAUCUGUUAUACCAUUUUGAUAUCUUUUAUAUCAAUCUUCGGGGAAACAAUUUAAAGCAACUCAAAAUAUAUGACAAGGUUUCAUAUCUAAAUAAAGAAAGACUUGUGUAAAGGCAGUAUUGGAUAUCUUGAAGUUAAAAAUGCUUAUAAAAUUUGUAGAUGGAAAUUGUAUGGUUAUACAUCCCUAUUUUUGUCAAUUUAAGUUUGUUAUAUAAUACUAAAUCUACAGUUCAAAGAAGUCUAGUUAUUUUUGAAAUAGGGGUUUGUAUUUGCAUUAGGUGAUCCUUGGGACCACAAUUUCUAUCUACUAUAAUUGUUCUGUAUGUCCCUUUCUUGGACAUGGAAAUAAAAAUAAGCAUAUGCAAUGUGAAUUGACCCAACUCAUCUAUUAAGUGCGCUAUUGUAUGAACUAUGUAAGUAUGUAUGGCAUUUCAUUUAGCACAGUUGGUAUCUACAUCUAUUAAGUGCGCUAUUGUAAGUAUGUUUGUUAAUACAGCUAUUAAGUGCGCUAUUCUGUAUGCUGUUGUUUUUCAUUGUAGGAUGAGAUUUUUGAAUGGACUGCAUUCUGUAUGAUGUUCAAAUGUUCUGUUUAAUAUUCUGCUGAGAUGUUGGAAUGGACUGCAUUCUUCAUUCUGAAUAUUCUGCUGAGAUGUUUCAAAUGUUGCUGGGCUACAUUUUCAGUUUCUGCCUUUCAUUUUGUCUUUGUGCAGAGCAGUGGAGUUAGUUGGCAUUGAUUAUAAUAAGCCAUGUCAAGUGUGUGUUUUCUUAUGUAUAAGACCAAUAUUAGGAUGGUGAUGUUAUCUUCUGCACAAUGUUAUGUUAUGUUCAGUUUCUAGUGUGUGUUCUGCAGUGGAGUUAGUUGGCUACAUUUUCAGUUUCUUAUCAGUCAUGUUAUGUUCAGUCAUGUUAUGUUAUGUUCUACACAAUGUUAUGUUGGUGAUUUUCGUAUCAGUCAUGUUAUGUUUUGCACAAGCUUGUUGGAGCUCAUCGACUGUGAUAUAACCACAAAUCUUGGCAGGAGAAACUUAUAGACUGAAUUUUAGUAGACUGAAUUUUAGUUACGAUUGGAUAUAUGUGACUCUGUUUCGCCAAAACCGGAGUAUUUUUUCUAUUGG